rnacentral:rRNA from 1 species
GACGAACGCUGGCGGCGUGCUUAACACAUGCAAGUCGAACGGUGAAGCGCCUUCCUUUUUGGUGGGUGUGGAUGAGUGGCGAACGGGUGAGUAACACGUGAGUAACCUGCCCCCUUCUUCUGGAUAACCGCAUGAAAGUGUGGCUAAUACGGGAUAUUCUGGGUCUGUCGCAUGAUGGGUCUGGGAAAGAUAUUGUUUCGGUGGGGGAUGGGCUCGCGGCCUAUCAGCUUGUUGGUGGGGUGAUGGCCUACCAAGGCGGUGACGGGUAGCCGGCCUGAGAGGGUGGACGGUCACACUGGGACUGAGACACGGCCCAGACUCCUACGGGAGGCAGCAGUGGGGAAUAUUGCACAAUGGGCGCAAGCCUGAUGCAGCGACGCCGCGUGAGGGAUGGAGGCCUUCGGGUUGUGAACCUCUUUCGCCAGUGAAGCAGGCCUGCCUCGUUUGUGGGUGGGUUGACGGUAGCUGGAUAAGAAGCGCCGGCUCACUACGUG